AAGCAUUAGACUGGAACCCAGCGGGACAUCGCAGCAGAGACUCAUGGCGGAGAAGCCUCAAUAAAGAAAUAAAAAAAGUCGACCGAAAUCUAACCUGGCAACAGGUUAAAGCGAUAGCCAGGCAACGCUCAGGAUGGAGAUCUUUCAAGUCGGCCCUUUGCACCACCGGAGGUGUACAGGAUCCAUAAGUUCUACCUCAGGAUUCUACGAUCACCGAUCAUCGGAUUUAAAAAUGCUUCAUAAAAGAGUGCGUUUUAAUUGGAAACAGUAAAUAUAAACUUUUGCCGGUAAAAGAGAUAUCGCAUGUUUUUAGGAUUAGUUCCCCAAGAGGAAAUUCCUUCCCUGGGACAGCCCAGCUCCAUUCAUUUAUGCCGAAAAAUUCGUCGACUGCCAUCACACGGAUUGACGCCAGAUAAACUGAAUGAUUUAAUGUCCCUGACCAGCAAUAAUCCAUGCCACAAUGUCAAGAUGACGACGAUAUGCACCCUUGUGGGCGUUGCUGCACCAGUAGCUCGCCGGAUUUAACCAAAGAUUGUAGUGUGACAUCUCCGAUAACCCAUGUUAAAUAAAAGAAAUAUAAUG